AACGAACGCUGGCGGCAUGCCUAACACAUGCAAGUCGAACGAUGCCUUCGGGCAUAGUGGCGCACGGGUGCGUAACGCGUGGGAAUCUGCCCUUGGCUUCGGAAUAACAGUUAGAAAUGACUGCUAAUACCGGAUGAUGUCCCCCUGAGAGAUCUUGGGGACCAAAGAUUUAUCGGCCAGGGAUGAGCCCGCGUAGGAUUAGGUAGUUGGUGGGGUAAAGGCCUACCAAGCCGACGAUCCUUAGCUGGUCUGAGAGGAUGAUCAGCCACACUGGGACUGAGACACGGCCCAGACUCCUACGGGAGGCAGCAGUGGGGAAUAUUGGACAAUGGGGGGAAACCUGAUCCAGCAAUGCCGCGUGAGUGAUGAAGGCCUUAGGGUUGUAAAGCUCUUUUACCAGGGAUGAUAAUGACAGUACCUGGAGAAUAAGCUCCGGCUAACUCCGUG
rnacentral:rRNA from 1 species